rnacentral:lncRNA from 1 species
CCCACUGUCCCUGCAAGGGGUCAUACAGCAAGCUGCUUCCCCAGCCAGUCAAGAGGUCCAAAUAACGCUCGCUUAUUUGCAAAUAGUGAGCAGCUAACGAAGCAAGAAGAGAGCCCGGGAGCUGCUGACAGAAGGCAGCAAACCUCUCCGAGUCCUCCAGCAGCCAGGAAAGCAGGGGGCCAGCCCCCGCUUCCUCCUCCUGCUGGCGGCCUCCCCCCUGCCGCACCAGCAGCAGCGCUGCCGCCACCACUCGGAAGGCUCUGGGCUGGGGCAGCUGCUGCAGGACCCCCCCGAGCCAGAGGGGCUCCCCCGGCGGGGAGCUGCGGAGCGGCUCCAGCAGGCAGCAGGCGGCUUUCCUGCGGGCCAGCAGCGCCAGGCGGCCGGGCCGGGCGGCGGGGGGCUGCAGCAGGCGCUGGAGGAGGCGGCGGCAGGCGGCAGGAGGCAGGGCGCGGUUCUCCAGCAGCGCCAGGCCCAGCAGCUCGGCGCAGCGGCCCAGCUGCCCGAAGGCGAGCGGGGAACCGGGCCGGGCCCUCCGCAGCCGCUGCCCCACGGCGUGGCGGAGCCGGGGCCGGGCGCGGAGGCGGUCGUGGAGGUGCUGGAAGUAGCGGCCCCAGUCCAGGGCCCGCUCCAGGGUCGGCGGGUCCCAGGCGCGCACCAGCGCGGAGCGGCAAACAGCCAGCAGCGCCGGCAGCUGCUCCACCUGCCCCAGCACCGCCUCCAUCGCCCCGCCGCAAGCCGAGCCCGCCGCUGCCCCUCAGCACCGCCUCCCGGAGCCGAUCGGAGCCGAUCCGAGGCGGCAAGGGAGGGGUUAGGGGCGGCAUUGGCCGAGCCGGGCGUCAAUCCGCUGCCUUCCCAUAAAAGGGGACGGGGCGGGCGCCGCCGCCAUUCCGUGACGGGGAGAGGGGGUUGGGGGGUUGUGGCGCUCCACGAGGAGGGAAUAUAAACGUUAAAAAAUAAACCGAACGCACUUGUGAUGCCUAAACGCAAUUUAAAGAAGUGGAAGCUGUUCACGAGCACACUGUGCGGGGGUAUUUGGCAUCUCCAGGGUGGCCGUGUGGCCAGCCGUGGUGUCCCCGCUGGGGCUGGCUCCCAGCCCGCAGCCAAACCCUGCUCACCUGCACCCUGUGGUGCCUCACUGCUAACUCCCUGUCAGCUAUGCCCCAGCUGGCUGCCUUCAACAAAGCACCGUGUCCGUGCCUCGGAUAGAAAAGCCUCUUGUAGCUGAGGGAGCUCUGGGCUGCCACCCUGUCCUCUCAGAGGGAAAAAAAUCUGGAAGGUUCCCUCACAGGCAUUCCCCAUGGGGGCAACUUGAGCAACACCUCACACAAGCCACGGUGUAAACAUGCCAGAACUGCUUGUACACAGCGAUAGGAGAAAGGCCCUCCCUGCCUCCCCUUCCCACCUGCGCCAGCAGGAGCUGAAGGCCAUUUCUCCACAGUGCACCAAAAAAAAAAAAAAAAAAAAAAACCACAAAAAUAAAACAAAACACAGCACAACCUGGCAUACCUGUGAGACCAGCAGCUCAGAAGGACUUUCUUCAUGCCCAUGUCCUGAAGAGCACCUCACGGAGAACAGCGCCUUGCCCUCCGUCUCGUCCCUGUGAGGGCCGUGCACACGGCACUGCCUCACCACAGAGCCCGGCCAGCUUCCAGCACCUUCCAUCGGGCGGCUCCUGAGGGCUGGGGAGGCUGCAGGCCUGCAGUGUGGGGCACUCCUCCUGUGUGGGGCACACAGAAUUGGUCUAGAAACAGUAGUAAAACCCAAAAUUCAAGGACAAAGAAUAACGCUCUUCUUCAGCGGAGGCCCUGUUUGAUUUUCUUUUCUUUCCAUACACCCUAGCGCUGAAUAUAGCUCUGUAUGGUGCUGAAUAUAUUCCCCCUCUACUCUACCCUCAUGAGACCCUACCUAGAGUACUACAACCACGUUUGGGGCCCCCAGCACAAGAAAGUUGAGGACCUGUGAGGGCAAGCCCAGUGGAGGGCCACGAAGGUGACCAGAGAGCUCUCUCCUACAAAGAGAGGCUGAGAGAACUGGGGCCGUUCAGCCCAAAGAAGAGAAGGCCCUGUGAAGGCCCCAUUGUGGCCUCUGAAUACUUAAAGUUGGUUUAUGAAGAAGGAUUCUUUGCUCAGGUAGAUAAUGAUAGGACAAAGGGGAAUGGUGUUAUCCCUGGAAUUGUUCAAGGCCAAGCUAGAUAGGACCUUGGUCAGCCUGAUUUAGCGUGUGGCAUCCCCACCUCUGUCAGAAAAGUUGGAACUACGUGAUCUUGAAGAUCCCUUCCAAUCCAAGCCAUUCUGUAGCUUCCUUGGGGUUUUCUAACACACACCAAUUGUUCCCUGGGCACAGACCCCACUCCUAAAGACAACUUCUAGUCAUUAAGGACCAGCUUUAAUGACAUACUGCCUCCAAAAUAAAUCAACUUAAAAUAAACCAAUCUAAACAGAAGCAUGGGUACUAACCUUUGCUACUAAAAUCUUUUUCUAGACUGCUCAAGGAGGGUAGGUUAGGAACCUUCUGUCUUAAGUACCCUCAUGAAAACAUGUACCCUUUCACACCUGAGCGCCCUUACCCUGUUUUCUUAUUUCAGCCACCUAGUUAGGAAAGAAUGGGGUUCACCUGUAAAUUAAGGGCCUAAUACCAAGAAUUACUGAGUGAAAUCCUAUGGCCAUUGUUGUUGAAGGAGAAUGGUAUCUCUCAGUAUGUAUGAAUACCCUGUAAUAAACUGUAUCUCAUCUCUUUCUGAAUGAGAUGUUUUUGUACUGAAAAAUCUUUUAAGCUUUCCAUUGAUUGUUUCUAGAGUAAUAAAAAUAAGAUGUGCUAGGGUGUUGCAUUGACAAUAGAAUUAUUGCUUCUAUUGUUAAUCAGUUUAUACUUUCCUAUCAUCUACCAUGUCCAUCUAUUCCAAAGCAUAUUAGAAACUAAUAAAAAUUAAAGGAAAGAUGGAGCACACAAACUCUAGUCAUGUACAGUAAGUAGGUCUCUGUAGAGCUGCCUGAAAAAU